UCUUUUUUUCGGAGCUGGGGACCGAACCCAGGGCCUUGCGCUAUCUAGGCAAGUGCUCUACCGCUGAGCUAAAUCCCCAACCCCUGUAAGUUACUCUUAUGAAAUGAGUAAUGACGGAUACUACUCCUAGGUAUGUCGCAGCAGACAACUGCCUACUAGCAAUGUGUCAUUCUAGUUGGCCCUGAAUUCCAGACAAGCUGAUUCCUGCAUAACAAUGUCAGCUUCAUAAAAUGGUGUCUUCCAAGAUGUCCCUACCAACCACUGGCAAGUAAAUGAAUUCUGCUGAGAACUCCCCUGGGUCAUGGGAUGUCCCGCGCGCGACUUUUCGCCGGCAAGGAGCACCCGGACAUUAGAAAUCCUUACUGUGAGCACUUUAUUAAUCUUAGAAGAGGAAAAGCCAUGCCGCACCAACAUGGGGCGCUUAUAAAACCCUCGUGCAGCGCACCCACACCUGAUUGGUUGUUACCCAUGAUCUCAUAAGGCACGCCCCGGAGUGGGCAAAGACCGGCACGAAGGCACUCUUGCACAUGCGCACAGUUAACUACCUGAAAGGGGGGCCGGCUGGCACGGCGAAGGUUGGCGCCAUCUUGUAAUGGCGGAGUCUAUCCUGACCUACCACGUGGGGCGCAGUGGAAGACAGCGCCAUCUAGUGGUGGCGAACGUAUUGCGGCCCUCUACAAUGGGAGACACCUUCCAAGUGGGGUGGUCCUUCAGGGACAAUGAGACCCAGGUUUGGUUCCAGGCAUUCACAACCAUCUCUGACUUCACCUGCCUCUGCAAACAUCAGAUUUGACCUUCAGCAAUAGCUUGAGCCUUUCGGCAUUCAGGACAGUUUCCUGGCUGCUGGCCUAGCAUGUCUCACUGGAUCGCUAAUUGUGGUAGACUGACUGGGAAGGAUCCCCAUAGACUCCUCUUCCUGGCCGCCAGCAGGAGACAGUUCUGCUACUGACUAAGGUGUAGAACUCUCAGGGCCCCAGCACCAUGUCUGCCUGCACAGAAGCCAUGCUUCCCACCUUGAUGAUAAUGGACCGAACCUGUAAAACUGUAAGCCAUCCCUGAUUAAAAGUUUUUCUUUU